rnacentral:rRNA from 1 species
GACGAACGCUGGCGGCGUGCUUAACACAUGCAAGUCGAACGGAAAGGCCCUGCUUUUGUGGGGUGCUCGAGUGGCGAACGGGUGAGUAACACGUGAGUAACCUGCCCUUGACUUUGGGAUAACUUCAGGAAACUGGGGCUAAUACCGGAUUGGAGCUCCUGCUGCAUGGUGGGGGUUGGAAAGUUUCGGCGGUUCGGGAUGGACUCGCGGCUUAUCAGCUUGUUGGUGGGGUAGUGGCUUACCAAGGCUUUGACGGGUAGCCGGCCUGAGAGGGUGACCGGCCACAUUGGGACUGAGAUACGGCCCAGACUCCUACGGGAGGCAGCAGUGGGGAAUAUUGCACAAUGGGCGGAAGCCUGAUGCAGCAACGCCGCGUGCGGGAUGACGGCCUUCGGGUUGUAAACCGCUUUCGCCUGUGACGAAGCGUGAGUGACGGUAAUGGGUAAAGAAGCACCGGCUAACUACGUG